rnacentral:rRNA from 1 species
AACGAACGCUGGCGGCAUGCCUAACACAUGCAAGUCGAACGAGACCUUCGGGUCUAGUGGCGCACGGGUGCGUAACGCGUGGGAACCUGCCCUUAGGUUCGGAAUAACUCCCCGAAAGGGGUGCUAAUUCCGGAUAAUUUCUUCGGACCAAAGUUUUAUCGCCUUUGGAUGGGCCCGCGUUGGAUUAGCUAGUUGGUAGGGUAAAAGCCUACCAAGGCGACGAUCCAUAGCUGGUCUGAGAGGAUGAUCAGCCACACUGGGACUGAGACACGGCCCAGACUCCUACGGGAGGCAGCAGUGGGGAAUAUUGGACAAUGGGCGAAAGCCUGAUCCAGCAAUGCCGCGUGAGUGAUGAAGGCCUUAGGGUUGUAAAGCUCUUUUACCCGGGAUGAUAAUGACAGUACCGGGAGAAUAAGCUCCGGCUAACUCCGUG